rnacentral:rRNA from 1 species
AGCAGCCGCCACGGUAAUACGUAGGUGGCAAGCGUUGUCCGGAAUUAUUGGGCGUAAAGCGCGCGCAGGCGGAUCAGUCAGUCUGUCUUAAAAGUUCGGGGCUUAACCCCGUGAGGGGAUGGAAACUGCUGAUCUAGAGUAUCGGAGAGGAAAGUGGAAUUCCUAGUGCAGCGGUGAAAUGCGUAGAUAUUAGGAAGAACACCAGUGGCGAAGGCGACUUUCUGGACGAGAACUGACGCUGAGGCGCGAAAGCCAGGGGUGCGAACGGGAUUAGAUACCCCGGUAGUCCCUGUCUCUUAUACA